rnacentral:lncRNA from 1 species
GGGGGCAAAGUUCAAUAUCACUGCCAAGAAUGCAGCUGCAUGUGAACUCAGAUGUGGUUCACUGCAUUCUCCCAGGUGAAUGGGCUCCUCUAAAAAGAUGGGAGAUGUCGGCCUCUCCAGUGCACAGCACACUCAGAAUUACAAAUCUAAGAAAGAAGUAUAUGAAAGCAAAGAUCUGGAGCAAAGAGCCAUGCUGGAGGAACCACCAACAACAGAAACUUGUCAAUCAAUCACAGAUAGGCUAUUCUAUAAUGAGAGAGGAGAAUAAAUCUCUGCAAAAUUUGAAGCAUGGAGAAGAACUGUCAACAACUUUCAGAGGAGAGGAGAUGGUAAUACACAGCUUGCUUUCUAGGUUAUGUUAAUGGACAAGAAACCGAAUUGCCUUCACAUACAGGGAUAUCUACCACCUCUCCAUCAGCAGACCAGUGUCAAAGAUGUCCUGGUUAUGAGAGGUAAAAUGAGGACUCCUGGGCCUAGAUUGAAUGAACAUCCAAUUAGGAUCAAUCAAGAAAGACUUCAUGUCCCACAGCAGCUGAGUUCUCAGGUUAAACAAAGACUAUCUUUCAGUGGCCUCCUUAUGCAGUAAGAAUUUACUGUUCAGAUCUUUCUACAAGAUACGUCUUACUCUUUAGAUUUCUGGCCACUUAGAUUAGAGCAACCCAACCACUGAAGCCAUCUCUGUCACAUGAUGCUUGUGGGCAGAAGCCAGCACUUCUAUUCUCCUCCAAGUUGGACGCUUCCCUCAAAUCUCAGCCAGCUGAGAAAACAUCCUGAUCUGAAGUUUGUCCAGGCUGUCCUGGGUGAGGAUGGAGGCACACAGCCACUGUCCCUAGUUUGUGACAUCUCGCUCUCUGUGAGAUUGAAAGGUUUCAGUUCUUCAAAAUAAUAAAAUACCUUCAGUCA